UGAGGAAUAUUGGUCAAUGGGCGAGAGCCUGAACCAGCCAAGUAGCGUGCAGGAUGACGGCCCUAUGGGUUGUAAACUGCUUUUAUGUGGGGAUAAAGUGCGUGACGUGUCAUGCAUUGCAGGUACCACAUGAAUAAGGACCGGCUAAUUCCGUGCCAGCAGCCGCGGUAAUACGGAAGGUCCGGGCGUUAUCCGGAUUUAUUGGGUUUAAAGGGAGCGUAGGCUGUCUAUUAAGCGUGUUGUGAAAUAUACCGGCUCAACCGGUGGCUUGCAGCGCGAACUGGUCGACUUGAGUAUGCAGGAAGUAGGUGGAAUUCAUGGUGGAGCGGUGAAAUGCUUAGAUAUCAUGACGAACUCCGAUUGCGAAGGCAGCUCACUGUAGCAUAACUGACGCUGAUGCUCGAAAGUGCGGGUAUCAAACAGG
rnacentral:rRNA from 1 species